rnacentral:rRNA from 1 species
AUUGAACGCUGGCGGAAUGCUUUACACAUGCAAGUCGAACGGCAGCACGGGGGCGAACCCUCGGUGGCGAGUGGCGAACGGGUGAGUAAUACAUCGGAACGUGCCCACGUCGUGGGGGAGUAACGUAGCGAAAGCUACGCUAAUACCGCAUACGAACUGAGGUUGAAAGCGGGGGAGUCGCAAGACCUCGCGCGAUUGGAGCGGCCGAUGGCAGAUUAGGUAGUUGGUGGGGUAAAGGCUCACCAAGCCGACGAUCUGUAGCUGGUCUGAGAGGACGACCAGCCACACUGGGACUGAGACACGGCCCAGACUCCUACGGGA